GGCCCAGACUCCUACGGGAGGCAGCAGUGGGAAUAUUGCACAAUGGCGAAAGCCUGAUGCAGCAACGCCGCGUGAGGGAUGACGGCCUUCGGGUUGUAAACCUCUUUUAGUAGGGAAGAAGCGAAAGUGACGGUACCUGCAGAAAAAGCACCGGCUAACUACGUGCCAGCAGCCGCGGUAAUACGUAGGGUGCAAGCGUUGUCCGGAAUUAUUGGGCGUAAAGAGCUCGUAGGCGGUUUGUCGCGUCUGCUGUGAAAUCUGGGGGCUCAACCCCCAGCCUGCAGUGGGUACGGGCAGACUAGAGUGCGGUAGGGGAGAUUGGAAUUCCUGGUGUAGCGGUGGAAUGCGCAGAUAUCAGGAGGAACACCGAUGGCGAAGGCAGAUCUCUGGGCCGUAACUGACGCUGAGGAGCGAAAGCAUGGGGAGCGAACAGGAUUAGAUACCCUGGUAGUCCAUGCCGUAAACGUUGGGAACUAGAUGUGGGGGCCAUUCCACGGUCUCCGUGUCGCAGCUAACGCAUUAAGUUCCCCGCCUGGGGAGUACGGCCGCAAGGCUAAAACUCAAAGGAAUUGACGGGGGCCCGCACAAGCGGCGGAGCAUGCGGAUUAAUUCGAUGCAACGCGAAGAACCUUACCAAGGCUUGACAUAUACCGGAAACGUCCAGAGAUGGUCGCCCCGCAAGGUCGGUAUACAGGUGGUGCAUGGUUGUCGUCAGCUCGUGUCGUGAGAUGUUGGGUUAAGUCCCGCAACGAGCGCAACCCUCGUUCUAUGUUGCCAGCACGUUAUGGUGGGAACUCAUAGGAGACUGCCGGGGUCAACUCGGAGGAAGGUGGGGAUGACGUCAAAUCAUCAUGCCCCUUAUGUCUUGGGCUUCACGCAUGCUACAAUGGCCGGUACAAAGGGCUGCGAUACCGUAAGGUGGAGCGAAUCCCAAAAAGCCGGUCUCAGUUCGGAUUGAGGUCUGCAACUCGACCUCAUGAAGUCGGAGUCGCUAGUAAUCGCAGAUCAGCAACGCUGCGGUGAAUACGUUCCCGGGCCUUGUACACACCGCCCGUCAAGUCAUGAAAGUCGGUAACACCCGAAGCCAGUGGCCUAACCCUUGUGGAUGGAGC
rnacentral:rRNA from 1 species